rnacentral:rRNA from 1 species
UGGGGAAUAUUGCACAAUGGAGGGAACUCUGAUGCAGCGACGCCGCGUGAACGAAGAAGGCUUUCGAGUCGUAAAGUUCUUUUAUAUGGGAAGAUAAUGACGGUACCAUAAGAAAAAGCUCCGGCUAACUACGUGCCAGCAGCCGCGGUAAUACGUAGGUGGCAAGCGUUGUCCGGAAUUAUUGGGCGUAAAGAGCGCGUAGGCGGUCGUGCAAGUCAAUCUUAAAAGUGCGGGGCUUAACCCCGUGAUGGGAUUGAAACUGUGCGACUGGAGUAUCGGAGAGGAAAGUAGAAUUCCUAGUGUAGCGGUGGAAUGCGUAGAGAUUAGGAAGAAUACCGGUGGCGAAGGCGACUUUCUGGACGAAAACUGACGCUGAGGCGCGAAAGCGUGGGGAGCAAACAGG